CAAUAGCGUAUAUUAAAGUUGUUGCGGUUAAAAAGCUCGUAGUUGGAUUUCUGUUGAGGACGGCCGGUCCGCACUAUGUGCGUGUAUCUGGUUCGGCCUCGGCAUCCUCUCGAAAGCCGUUUCUGCGCUUGAUUGCGUGGUUCGGACUUCGGGACUUUUACUUUGAGGAAAUUAGAGUGUUCACGGCAGGCAAGCGCCUUGAAUAUAUUAGCAUGGAAUAAUAAUAUAGGAUCUUGGUCCUAUUUUGUUGGUUUCUAGGGCUAAGAUAAUGAUUAAUAGGGACAAUUGGGGGCAUUCGUAUUAACGCGUCAGAGGUGGAAUUCUUGGAUUGCGUUACGACGAACUACUGCGAAAGCAUUUGCCAAGGAUGUUUUCAUUG
rnacentral:rRNA from 1 species